GACGAACGCUGGCGGCGUGCUUAACACAUGCAAGUCGAACGAUGAAGCUGGAGCUUGCUCCAGUGGAUUAGUGGCGAACGGGUGAGUAACACGUGAGCAAUCUGCCCUUGACUCUGGGAUAACUGCGGGAAACUGUAGCUAAUACCGGAUACGACACCUUGGGGCAUCCCGGGGUGUGGAAAGAAUUUCGGUCAAGGAUGAGCUCGCGGCCUAUCAGCUAGUUGGUGAGGUAAUGGCUCACCAAGGCGACGACGGGUAGCCGGCCUGAGAGGGUGACCGGCCACACUGGAACUGAGAUACGGUCCAGACUCCUACGGGAGGCAGCAGUGGGGAAUAUUGCACAAUGGGCGCAAGCCUGAUGCAGCAACGCCGCGUGAGGGAUGAAGGCCUUCGGGUUGUAAACCUCUUUUAGCAGGGAAGAAGCGAAAGUGACGGUACCUGCAGAAAAAGCACG
rnacentral:rRNA from 1 species